rnacentral:rRNA from 1 species
CUGCUGCCUCCCGUAGGAGUCUGGUCCGUGUCUCAGUACCAGUGGUGGGGGACCUUCCUCUCCGGAACCCCUACGCAUCGUCGUCUUGGUGGUCCGUUACACCGCCAACUAACUAAUGCGACGCAUGCCCAUCCGCCACCGGAAUCAACCUUGGCACCAACAGGAUGUCCCGUCGAUGCAUUAUGCCGUAUUAGACGGAAUUUCUCCCGAUUAUCCGGCUGUGGCAGGCAGGUUGCAUACGUGUUACUCA